rnacentral:tRNA from 1 species
GCUUAUAUAAUUUAUAAAGAAUAUUGUGUUGAAGUUACAGAAGAGAUAAUUAUCUAUAGGUA